UACAGAGGGUGCGAGCGUUGUUCGGAAUUAUUGGGCGUAAAGCGCUUGUAGGCGGCUUGUUAAGUUCCGUGUGAAAUCCCCAGGCUUAACCUGGGAAGUGCGCGGAAAACUGGCGAGCUUGAGUGCCGGAGAGGGUCGCGGAAUUCCCGGUGUAGAGGUGAAAUUCGUAGAGUAGUCGGGAGGAACACCGAGUGGCGAAGGCGGCGACCUGGACGGACACUGACG
rnacentral:rRNA from 1 species